rnacentral:RNase_P_RNA from 1 species
GGGUGCCGAGCUGGUAACCGGUUCGCAAGAACUGAGGAAAGUCCGUCCACCACAAAAAGGUCACCGCAGGAAUGCGGCUUUCCGAAUAGGAUGGGCUACUGCACAAGAAACCUACGGCUUUGCGUUAGGAUGAACGUGGCCAACUCCGGGCGACCGGGGCGCGUUCCACAGACGUUGCGCAAGGAGGCGGUGAAAGGCAGACCUGGCCGGUGCAAGUGCUUUGCACGCUUAGUCGAAUGCCAGAAUUGGCCGUCGGGCAACCGGGCCAAACAGAAGGCGGCUUAUCGCACCC